UUUGAUUUAAUUGUUUCAUUAUCUCCUAUGCCCAUUUGACAAAAUGUAUCCAUGUAAUAAUUUGAUCACUUUAUUUUUAUUUUCUAUCUGGUUAUCUAGUUCUAACACAAUAAUAAAAUCAACCCCCUCUCAAAAACAAAAAAAAAAUAAAAACUCGAUCCAAUGUCGAGUAUUUUCCAAAAGAUAUCUCAACACCACUUUAAACUUUC
rnacentral:lncRNA from 1 species